GAUAAACAAUAGUAGUUGAAGACUUGAACACGGAAUGCAGUGUAUCCACCCCAAGUCUCAACCUUCUUCUUUCUUGCUCUGAUCCUCCCAGGGAUAAAUGAGAGCAGACCGCAACGCUUCCUUUUACCAAACCUCUCUCUCAGCAUCACAGGCACUGCCGCCUCAUCAAACUCAUUCUGUCAAUAAUAAUCCUUAUCAACCUUCUCUUCUCACUCUUCCGUUCAUCUCAUAGUACAGGAGCGUCAGAGGAGGACACCUGCACCGAUCUCAUGUGCAGCUCUUCAUUCUAUGGCAUGGAUUUCAGGUAAAGACUUGAUAGAGGAGGACUGAUGCCUGUGCAGUGGUUUCCAAGGGUUGUGAGGAACAACUUGAGAAAAGAAAACAAAUCCAAUGUCUCCAUUAGAAAGGCUGAAGAAGAAGAAGAAGAUGUAAACUGGAGUUGUUCAUGACAAAGCCUCCAUCACUUUCUGCAAUCUUGUCCCACAACUCGAGUGGUCAUCUUGGAAUCAGCUUCUCUGGCUUUGAGAGCCUUCUUCGAUCCCCCACUUCAUCAAAACUUGAUCUAAAGAUGUGCCUAGCAAUCAUACACCAGCCUGUGACGUGUUGAUCUGGAUGCAUCAUGAAGCAUUCGAGCUCAGAAUCAAGCAGACAGACGGAUGAGGAUGGCAGGCGGAGGAGGAUGGAGAGAUCGGCGACUGGUUCAAGCACGGGCGGGUGGGUGCAUCCACCACAGGAGCAGGAGACGAGAGGCUCCCCUUCCAACUAUUUCAGCAUGAAGUCGUUUCUUGUACUCAUCUGCCUCACUCUAUCUCUGUUGAUACUUCCUCUCGUACUGCCUCCAUUGCCACCACCACCUUCGGUGCUGCUGCUGCUUCCUAUAGGCAUGCUUGUUCUACUUUUGAUCCUGGCUUUCAUGCCCUCUGACACCGGAAACAUUGCUUCUUCCUACCUGUAAAUAAGAUGAGGGAGUCCGCUGCAUCUUUUUCUUCUUUAGAUCGACAGAAUUGAUCUAAUGGCUUCGACUA